ACUCAAAGGAAUAGACGGGGACCCGCACAAGCAGCGGAGCGUGUGGUUUAAUUCGACGAAACGCGAAGAACCUUACCUAGGCUUGACAUGCACCGGAAACAGCCAGAGAUGGCUGCCCCCGACAGGGCCGGUGCACAGGUGCUGCAUGGCUGUCGUCAGCUCGUGUCGUGAGAUGUUGGGUUAAGUCCCGCAACGAGCGCAACCCUUACUGCCAGUUAGGAUGUCUGGCGGGACUGCCGGGAGAAACCCGGAGGAAGGCGGGGAUGACGUCAAGUCAGCACGGCCCUUACGCCUAGGGCUACACACACGCUACAAUGGCCGCGACAACGCGCAGCAAACCCGCGAGGGGGAGCGAAUCGCAUCAAACGCGGUCUCAGUUCGGAUUGCAGGCUGCAACUCGCCUGCAUGAAGUCGGAGUUGCUAGUAACCGCUGGUCAGCAUACAGCGGUGAAUAUGUUCCCGGGUCUUGUACACACCGCCCGU
rnacentral:rRNA from 1 species